CUGCUGGAUCAUGUCAUCUGGAAACCACAGCUGCAGCUCCACCACAUAGUUCUCCCCCAACAUUGGAAGACUGAAGAGGAAGAGAUCUCCUCAUCCAGCAGAGGAACUUCAGAGUGGAACAGGAGGAACCAAAACCUCCACAGAUUCAAGAGGAACAGGAGGAACCAGAACCUCCACAGAUUCAAGAGG